AGAGUUUGAUCCUGGCUCAGGAUGAACGCUAGCGGCAGGCUUAACACAUGCAAGUCGAGGGGCAGCAUAAUGGAUAGCAAUAUCUAUGGUGGCGACCGGCGCACGGGUGCGUAACGCGUAUGCAACCUACCUUUAACAGGGGGAUAACACUGAGAAAUUGGUACUAAUACCCCAUAAUAUCAUAGAAGGCAUCUUUUAUGGUUGAAAAUUCCGAUGGUUAGAGAUGGGCAUGCGUUGUAUUAGCUAGUUGGUGGGGUAACGGCUCACCAAGGCGACGAUACAUAGGGGGACUGAGAGGUUAACCCCCCACACUGGUACUGAGACACGGACCAGACUCCUACGGGAGGCAGCAGUGAGGAAUAUUGGUCAAUGGACGCAAGUCUGAACCAGCCAUGCCGCGUGCAGGAUGACGGCUCUAUGAGUUGUAAACUGCUUUUGUACGAGGGUAAACGCAGAUACGUGUAUCUGUCUGAAAGUAUCGUACGAAUAAGGAUCGGCUAACUCCGUGCCAGCAGCCGCGGUAAUACGGAGGAUUCAAGCGUUAUCCGGAUUUAUUGGGUUUAAAGGGUGCGUAGGCGGUUUGAUAAGUUAGAGGUGAAAUACCGGUGCUUAACACCGGAACUGCCUCUAAUACUGUUGGACUAGAGAGUAGUUGCGGUAGGCGGAAUGUAUGGUGUAGCGGUGAAAUGCUUAGAGAUCAUACAGAACACCGAUUGCGAAGGCAGCUUACCAAACUAUAUCUGACGUUGAGGCACGAAAGCGUGGGGAGCAAACAGGAUUAGAUACCCUGGUAGUCCACGCAGUAAACGAUGAUAACUCGUUGUCGGCGAUACACAGUCGGUGACUAAGCGAAAGCGAUAAGUUAUCCACCUGGGGAGUACGUUCGCAAGAAUGAAACUCAAAGGAAUUGACGGGGGCCCGCACAAGCGGAGGAACAUGUG
rnacentral:rRNA from 1 species